AUUAACUUUGGCCUCUGCGGGUCAUACUUUGUACUCUGCUCCCACGCUUCCCUUUGCCAGACGUGCUUCACUCAGAUUGGGAGACCCGGCAAAGGUGUGGGAUUAUCGGUGCAUGUUCUGAACCUUGAUUAGCCUGUUCGGGUCCACCGCGUAAGUAAAAUGGCAGCAAGGCCCCCUUCCCUCCGUAUUGGAAUUGUCGGAUUUGGACAUCUAGGACAGUACUUGGUGGAGAGAAUCAUCAAAGAUGGCGGCCCCGUCGGCUUAACUUUGGCUUUUGUUUGGAACCGAAAGCUUGAAAAGAUGAAAGGUUUAGUCCCCGAUGAACUCGUCUUGGGGAAUCUGUCGUCCUUCGCAGACAGGGAAUGCGAUGUCAUUGUGGAGGUGUGCCAUCCUCAGGUGGUGAAAGAAUUUGGAGUCCACUUCCUGUCUCACUCGCAUUUUAUGGUUGGCUCCCCUUCCGCCCUCGCCGAUCAUGACCUGAAUGCGAAACUUCGUCAGGCGGCACAGUUGCAUGGAAGAACGCUUUACGUCCCCAGCGGUGCGUUAUGGGGAGGUCAAGAUAUCCAGAGGAUGAACGAUAGCGGCGUCUUGCAGGCUUUAUUCAUAAGAAUGUCCAAGCAUCCAUCCUGCUACCGGCUGACGGCAGAUGUCUCCUCCGAGUGGGCGGAGGGACAAGGGAGGCGGGUUUUAUUCAGAGGCUCAGUUUCGGAGCUGUGCCCCCUCGCUCCCAACAAUGUCAACACCAUGGCGACGGCAGCGGUGGCUGCAGGGAAGCUCGGUUUUGACGGCGUUCAGGGAGAGAUUGUGUCAGACACGGCUUUGAGUGAUUAUCACGUGGUGGAGGUGCAGGCGACGGGGCCUGAUGGUUUCUCAGCGCACACGGUGAGAAGGAAUCCAAGCCAACUCGGCGCCGUAACCGGUUGCGCAACAUACAACUCAUUUUGGAAUAGCUUACUUGGUAAGCUUCUCACUUCCUCAGGGUUGAGUGGAAACGUUUGUUUUGGAUCAAGUCGUGCGAGUUGAGACCAAAAAAACAACAUCGAGAUAAUUUUUUUGUCAACUUACCGGCUACGGCGACAGGCCUCGUGAAAUCCGCACAUGCUUUAUUUGGAUCCCACGUGAUUUUGGGACAAAAUUCUGGAAUAAUAACACAUUCUGUAAAGGUCACGGGGGUCGAGUUUAUUUGUGCUGAAGCAACUCAUGCCCACGGAAGACGAGCCUGCCAAACGGCGGCUAGCAAAGCAAAGAAGUCUGAGCAGUUUUUUGUUUGUAAACCCUUUGACGGGUCGGCUAUGUUGAAUCUUUAUUAUAUGUUCAUAUGGUGCGAGAUCGGAAGAAAUGAUGAAACUCUCACAGGGAGUAUACAUA